UACGUAGGUGGCAAGCGUUUGUCCGGAUUUACUGGGCGUAAAGAGCGCGCAGGCGGUCGUUCAAGUCGCGUGUGAAAGCCCCCCGGCUCAACUGGGGAGGGUCACGCGAUACUGAUCGACUCGAAGGCAGGAGAGGGUAGUGGAAUUCCCGGUGUAGUGGUGAAAUGCGUAGAUAUCGGGGAGGAACACCAGUGGCGAAGGCGACUACCUGGCCUGUUCUUGACGCUGAGGCGCGAAAGCGUGGGGAGCGAACAGG
rnacentral:rRNA from 1 species